UACAGAGGGUGCGAGCGUUAAUCGGAAUUACUGGGCGUAAAGGGUUUGUAGGUGGCUUGUUAAGUCAGACGUGAAAUCCCUCAGCUUAACUGGGGAACUGCGUCUGAUACUGGCGAGCUUGAGUGCAGGAGAGGAACGCGGAAUUCCAGGUGUAGCGGUGAAAUGCGUAGAUAUCUGGAGGAACACCGGUGGCGAAGGCGGCUCACUGGCUCGUAUCUGACGCUCAGGCGCGGACAGCGUGGGGAUCAAACAAGG
rnacentral:rRNA from 1 species